AGAGUUUGAUCCUGGCUCAGAGCGAACGUUAGCGGCGGGCUUAACACAUGCAAGUCGAGCGAGAGAGUGACUUCGGUCAUGAGUAAAGCGGCAGACGGGUGAGGAACACGUAGGUAAUUUCCGUUUAGUGGGGGACAACGGUCCGAAAGGACCGCUAAUACCGCAUACGUUUCUUGGGACUUUGGUCUUGGGAAGGAAAGCUGGGCAACUGGCGCUAAAUGAGAAGCCUGCGUCGCAUCAGCUAGUUGGUGGGGUAAUGGCCUACCAAGGCGAAGACGCGUAGCUGGUCUGAGAGGAUGAUCAGCCACACUGGAACUGAGACACGGUCCAGACUCCUACGGGAGGCAGCAGUGGGGAAUAUUGGACAAUGGGCGCAAGCCUGAUCCAGCCACGCCGCGUGAGUGAUGAAGGCCUUCGGGUCGUAAAGCUCUGUGGGGAGAGACGAACCGCUGGGGUAACCCUUCAGCAUGACGGUAUCUCCUUAGCAAGCACCGGCUAACUUCGUG
rnacentral:rRNA from 1 species